rnacentral:snoRNA from 22 species
CGGCGUGAUGAUUGACGGGUCUGCUGAGCGGUGAUGACCCGUUGGAGCUCUGACC